rnacentral:rRNA from 1 species
UACGUAGGUGUCAAGCGUUGUCCGGAUUUAUUGGGCGUAAAGCGCCCGCAGGCGGCUUGCCAAGUUCGAUGUGAAAUCUCCCGGCUCAACUGGGAGGGUGCAUCGAAAACUGGCAGGCUUGAGGCAGGGAGAGGGAUGUGGAAUUCCAGGUGUAGUGGUGAAAUGCGUAGAUAUCUGGAGGAACACCGGUGGCGAAGGCGGCAUCCUGGACCAACACUGACGCUGAGUGAGCGAAAGCCAGGGGAGCAAACGGG